rnacentral:rRNA from 1 species
UACGUAGGGUGCAAGCGUUGUCCGGAAUUAUUGGGCGUAAGAGCUCGUAGGCGGUCUGUCGCGUCGGAUGUGAAAAUCAGGGCUCAACCCUGGACCUGCAUUCGAUACGGGCAGACUAGAGUUCGGUAGGGGAGACGUGGAAUUCCUGGUGUAGCGGUGAAAUGCGCAGAUAUCAGGAGGAACACCGGUGGCGAAGGCGGGUCUCUGGGCCGAAACUGACGCUGAGGAGCGAAAGCGUGGGGAGCAAACAGG